rnacentral:lncRNA from 1 species
UGUAAAACAAUGAUAAAAAAUACCCAGGAGUCCAUUAUCCUUCUUAUAUCCAUUGUUUUUUUAGUAUGAAUUUUUAUGUGGCAAUUUCUAUAUAUUUUUUCAAUUAAAAUUUUAUUGUGGACAGUUUUCUCAAUCAUAAAGAAUUAUUUUAUACAUAGGUUAACAACAGAAUAAAACACCAUUGAUGUCAUCCUCUUACUGACAUUGUAGGGUUUCCAUUAAAGGUAUAUAUAUGUAUACUGUCUCUUAUAGAGUUGAAAUGCAUAUUGUGCUGCACUAAGUUUUUAAAGUUCUGUUUCCCUGUGUAUAAGGUCUUUCUAUGCUAACCCCAAAAAUGUAAUUUAAAGGUCAGUUAAGGAUAUGGACAAUUUAAGGCUUGUUUAAAUUGCCUCCCCAAACUCAGUGUAUUCAUUUAUAAGCCUGACAUUGUUCUGUAAUAUUUUUGGUGUUAAAACAUAAGUCCUGUGUUCCCAGGGUUUUGCCUUACCAGCUGUUGUUCUUUUUGUACAGUUAUAUUUUUCUCAAAGAAAAUUUGGCAUUUUUGUAUUGGCCUGUGGUGAUGGCUGUGGAAGUGCUUUUCAUUCACACAAUUGUGAAGAAUGCUAUAUCAAGGGUUCCAGAACAGUCUUCUUGGAGUCUCUAGUUCCAAGAGAUGUUCAGAGUCACCACCAGACUUUUCAAGGUUCUGCUUCUGAAAUGUAAAGAUAUUUCUAGAUGAUUUGUAUCCCACACUUGAGGAAAAGGCACUUAUUGGUAGAAAGAAAAGUUUAAGAGUUAAAGACGUGUUUUUGAAUCAUUCUUCUGUGUUCAGGUUCAGAGGCCUCUGUGGUCAUCUCUCACACAUCACCACCAGUGGAAGGGGAAAGAAGCCAGUGUCCAAGGGAGCCAAGGGCUUUUGGCUGUUUAUAGUGGAGUUUGGUUUAGAAAAGCAAGCUUUGUUUUCAUUUUGGUAAUAUGGGAAAUGCUUGGUCAUUUAUUUAAAUUAUAUAAUACUUUCAUGGAGAAUUGUUUGCAGUAAAAUCACAUAAAACAGGUGGUAUAUGAACUAAAGCUAGAGAAGUAGAUCAGAAACCAGAAGAAUGUGUUGUUAAGGGUCCACCAGGCAUGUAGAACUAUUAGAAAUUUGAAAAGUAAAGGAUAUUGGGGAAAGAAAUCUGAAAAAGUGACAUGUGAAUUAAAUGUAAAGUCAUUAUGUGGUGUGACCAUAGUGUGUAGGUGCUCAGCAGGCACUGGGGAAAGCUGAAGUUGGUGUCCAAAAGAUCAGUGUCCCCAGAGCAUAGAAUGGGGGAAGACAGAGGAGGGGUUAUCAUUGGCCCAGAACUAGGUCAGAGGCAAAGGAGAGGGAAUAUAGCUCUGAUGUUCUUUGUUCUCCUUGGAGAAGAAUGUUUUCAGCUCUUCCAUCGUGAGUGACAGGAGGGCAGGUGGAAGGAUAUUUGUCCAUUUAAGAAGAAAAAACUACAGUUUAGUAGAGAGAGGUGCACUAAGGAAUAAGGAAGAGGCGACCAUGAAAUCACUGGGACACAAACAGAUCUGGGCACAGCUGUGUUCAAGGGAGAAGCCAAGGCUCCAGACCCUGUAUUUUCCAUCCCAUGUCCCCAACAUACAUGCAUGCUUACAUGCACACACAUCAUUGUACUGAGGACACACACAGACACCAUUUUGCAGUGCAGAAGUCAUUCCUAUGUUAAUCCAGCAAACAUUCAUGGUGCAUGGGGUGGGUGAGAGUUCCUCAUUACUGGGCACAAUGGGACAUAUUACAAAUUGUAGGACAAAAGUCCAAACUAGGAUGUUUCUGUGAGUGAGGUUUUCUGUGCUGAGUCCUCAACCUUCUUCCUCCUGACAUCCCUCUCCUAAUGUCCUCUGCCACCCACCUUACCAAUUCCUCAGCUCUAGCAAGCCCUGCUAUCGCUCAGUGUCCUCGGUGUGAGACACCUUCCUUCCUCUUCCUGUGUACCCAGACCAUCCUGCUCAUGGAACUCCUUUUCCUGUCAGCUCCAGUGUGACCAGAGCAUAGAAUGGGAGAAGGCUUUUAAUGCCCCCUCCUCCUAUCCCAGAACUGAUCAUUCCCCUUGUGCCUGCACUGAACCUAUUUCUGUCUAAACAUCUCUAAUUCAAAAUUACACUUUACAGAUAGAAUCCAUAGCUCCCUCCAUACCUUCCCAGCACUUAACCCAAGCGGGACAAAGACAUUUCAGAAGCCACAAGCACUGUAAAUGCUGCAGAUCCUCAUCCUCUACAUCUAGUGCAGUAUAAAGACCAUACUGCCCUAGCAAACAAAGCUCAUGUGUUAACUUUAGAAUAAUAACUCAUUUCUCUGUUUUUUCUGAUUAAAGUAUUCUAACUAAAUUCAUGGAGGCCGAAAUUUUCCCAUCAUUUUGGAGUCCUUAUGCACCAUUUCUCUGCAGGGGUUUAGUGUGCCUCUAGUAGAAACCAAGAAACCAGCCAUGUGCUCAGUGGUUGGCAUGUGGAGGGUGCUGAGGAAAGGUUUGAAUGGAUGGGUGUAUCCAUGGAUUGUCUGGAGCAUUAGACUACAGUGGUACAUCAUGGACAAAAGGAAGGUCUAAGAGAAAAGAAGAAAUAAAUUGCCAUAAGCAUUGAGGGGAAGGAGGCAGGUGCCUCUGGUUGGGAAAACCGAGAAGAGCAUUGUGGAGGAAAAGCCCCCAACUCAACUGAUUGGGAAAUAAGGUGAAAGCAAGCCUGAUGAUGUGCCCAUAUCCCAGGUCGAAUGCAUUAAUGAAGGGUCCGCACAUCUUUGUAAGCCUAAAAACAACACAAAUCAAAUUCCUAUGCAUAGUAUUAGAUGAAUCUACCUGCUCAGCAAGAGGGCUCACAAAGAGUUAUUUCUCUUAACAUAGCUUUCAGGCCUCUUCAUUUCCUGGUGUUUGAUUUUGUCCCAUCUCUCAGUUGGGUUUAUGUAGACUAGUAAUGUUUAACUCGGGAGCAUUUUUACCCUCCAAGGGACACUUGACAUUGUUACAACUUGUGGAGAGGAUGCCAAAUACAUAUAAUCAUACCACUUAAAUAUAAUCAUUGAGAUGAUAUUUCUCUGGGAUUUCUGAAUUAUAGUAAUCUAGAAUUCUUUCUGUGUUUUACUUUAACCAUGAUUCUUUAGAGAGAUUAUAUUAAUCUAGAAUGUAUUAUGGAAUUGUAUUCAUCUAGAAUUCUGGGAUUAUGUUCACCCAGAAUUUUUCAAUUUGUAUAUGAAUUAUAUAUUUAAAAUUUAAACAAGAUCAUAAAGAUUGUUUUCUUAUGCACUUCAGAGAAUUGUUGGACUCCAAAAUUCAUCAUCCACAUAACUCAGUCAUAUGUUGGUAAUGGUGCUGCCUAACUACUUAUUGUAAGGACUAGGGACUAUAUGAAGUAGGGAGCUGGACACGGCUGGUACAUAGUAGGUGUUCAAUAAGUGAUAGCUACUUAUGUCUCAUAUCUAGCCUUUUUAAUUCCUUAACUAAACCAGUAAUCAAGUUUUGGAUUCCCAAGGUCUGAAUUGAAAGCAGAUUUCUUCUCUGCUUUCCUUGGGCGUUCCUGCAAAACAAAACCCAAAUCAACAAGUUGAGACAUUGGAAAACCAAUCUCAAGUCUCUCCUCAGAUGCCUGUGAUAUGUUAAUCAGGAGCCAUGUGUUGAUAUUUCCAGAAACAGGCUUCAUCAGGUCCUCUUCCUGAUCUAAAGGGUUCUUUCUCAGCUUUUGAAAAAUAUAAAACUGGUGCUCACUUGGGCAGACAUACACUAAAAUUGGAACCAUACAGAGAAGAUCAGCAUGGCCUCUGGGCAAGGAUAACACACAAAUUCUAGAAGCAUUCCAUAUUUAAAAAAAAAAAUAGAAAAAGAAAUAUAAAUUAGCGGACAAAAAAAAAGGAAUAUCAAAAACUUCUUUUACCUCUUUAGCCCUUUGUCAUACAUCAGUUGCUCAGUUUCAAAAGGUAUCGGUAGUUGAGUGGCAGAAGAACUACUUGUCCAGAACUACCUGUCUCACUUGGAAAACUCCUGAGAAAGGACUGGCUGGUGUUGCCUCAAACCAGGGAACAGUAUAUUUCUAGCAGAAUGAUUUUCUCAUUGUUGUUUUUAAUUGAAAUGCAAGAAGAGUUACCACUCUAAGAAUAGAACUGUUUGUUCUGAAGUUCUUUUCACCCUUAGGUGUUAUCCAUUCCCACUCUCUUCAAACAUGGAAGUGAUAUCACAAACCAUAUUCUGAAGAAUCUGGUUCCUGAUGUGCAGAGAGUGUGUUUAAGGUGGUACUGGAGGAUGGAGGGUGCCCUGCCUCCCUCCUGUCUGAACUGUGGCCAUCAGUGGUGCUGGGGAGCCAGAGUACAUCACUGCCUGUGGGAACUGAUUUAGAGGACAUUGAAAGUCCUCUUUCCUCCAGACUAUGGAAGAGCUGACAGGCUAUAUGGUGGAGCAAUUCUAUGAAGGGAGCAUUGCAGUACUCAGUACCAUGUGCCCUAAUGGAAGCAGGUACAGACUGCUUCCAGACAAAAAGAGGCAGGCUGCUGUCUGCUGGUGGCCUCUGCUCACCAAGGUGGGCAGUGUCUUCUUUGGUGCUCUUGAGGGGCCAGGUCCAGAGAAAACUUCCCUUUCCGACUUCAGGGAAACUUUAGUAAGGGUUUUUCCACUGCCAGAACACAGCUGCCUCACCAUCAGCCAAGACCAGUCUUGGCAUGAGGAUGAGUCACAGGCGGUGAGGAAGGGCAAGGAAUUUUAUAGUAGUAGGAAGGUGGACAGAAGAGGCAUCUCAUUUGGGUUCUUCCAUCACUUAGCACAUUGGAGCAAAAGAAGACCUCCGUGUAGUCCUGUCCAUGCC